CGGCGGACGGGUGAGUAAUGUCUGGGAAUCUGCCUGUUUGUGGGGGAUAACUUUUGGAAGACGGUAGGCUAAUACCGCGAUACGUUCCUCGAGGGAGGGAAAGUGGGGGCACCUUCGGGCCUUGUGCUAUCAGAUGUGCCUAGGUGGGAUUAUGCUUGUUGGUGGGGUAAUGGCUCACCUAGUUAGUUUCGCGAACGAUGCCCCGUAAUCUGGUCUGAGGAGGGAAUGGAUCCAAAUGUCACACUUGGAACUGAUGGGACACGGUCCAGACUCCUACGGGAGGCAGCAGUGGGGAAUAUUAGGACCAAUGGGCGAAAGCCUGAUGCAGCCCAUGACUCCCGACGAUGUGUGAAAAGAAGGUCUUCGGGUUGUAAAGCACUUGUAAGUUGGGAGGAAUAGGGCGUUAGGUUAAUACCUUGAUGUUUUGACGUUGUUUAAAUCCCCGGCAAGAAUAAGCACCGGCUAACUCUGUGCCCAGCAGCCGCGGUAAUACGGAGGGUGCAAGCGUUAAUCGGAAUUACUGGGCGUAAAGCGCGCGGAGGUGGUUGUGGUCUUAAGUUGGUAUGUGAAAUCCCCCCGGGGCUACACACCUGGGAAACUGACAUAUUCAGAGAACUGGCAGCGCGCUAGAAAGCGGUCCCUUGAUAGAGGGUGGUGGAAUUUCAUGUGUAGCGGUGCGAAACUAGUGCGUGAGUAGAUAAACUAGGGAGGAAGUGUAUACCGGUGUGGCGCGGAAAAGGCGGCCCCGCCCCUGGCACUGAUACUGACGCUGAGGUGCGAAAGCGUGGGGGAGCAAMCAGGAUAUAGAUACCCUGGUAGUCCACGGUAAA
rnacentral:rRNA from 1 species